GAUGAACGCUGGCGGCGUGCCUAAUACAUGCAAGUCGAGCGAACAGACGAGGAGCUUGCUCCUCUGACGUUAGCGGCGGACGGGUGAGUAACACGUGGAUAACCUACCUAUAAGACUGGGAUAACUUCGGGAAACCGGAGCUAAUACCGGAUAAUAUAUUGAACCGCAUGGUUCAAUAGUGAAAGACGGUUUUGCUGUCACUUAUGGAUGGAUCCGCGCCGCAUUAGCUAGUUGGUAAGGUAACGGCUUACCAAGGCAACGAUGCGUAGCCGACCUGAGAGGGUGAUCGGCCACACUGGAACUGAGACACGGUCCAGACUCCUACGGGAGGCAGCAGUAGGGAAUCUUGCGCAAUGGGCGAAAGCCUGACGGAGCAACGCCGCGUGAGUGAUGAAGGUCUUCGGAUCGUAAAACUCUGUUAUUAGGGAAGAACAAAUGUGUAAGUAACUAUGCACGUCUUGACGGUACCUAAUCAGAAAGCCACGGCUAACUACGUG
rnacentral:rRNA from 1 species